rnacentral:rRNA from 1 species
GCUUCAUUAGUGUAUAUUAAUAUUGCUGUAGUUAAAAAGUUCGUAGUUGGAGUAAUAUUUCAGGGUUGGGCGAGGAUUCCGAGAGGAGUCUGAGUUUGGCUUUGAUAUAGGAUUAUGAGUUUUUCCUUUUUUUGAGGGGGGGACUCAUGGAUUACCUUAAGGAAAUGACGUUGUUUCAAGAAGAUUGCUUAGGAGUAUUG